ACGGUGACGGAGGAGCUUGCUUCUCUUGAUCAGUGGCGAACGGGUGAGUAACACGUGAGUAACCUGCCCUUGACUCUGGGAUAAGCGUUGGAAACGACGUCUAAUACCGGAUACGAGACGCGAUCGCAUGGUCUGCGUCUGGAAAGUUUUUCGGUCAAGGAUGGACUCGCGGCCUAUCAGCUUGUUGGUGAGGUAAUGGCUCACCAAGGCGUCGACGGGUAGCCGGCCUGAGAGGGCGACCGGCCACACUGGGACUGAGACACGGCCCAGACUCCUACGGGAGGCAGCAGUGGGGAAUAUUGCACAAUGGGCGAAAGCCUGAUGCAGCGACGCCGCGUGAGGGAUGAAGGCCUUCGGGUUGUAAACCUCUUUCAGUAGGGAAGAAGCGAAAGUGACGGUACCUGCAGAAGAAGCACCGGCUAACUACGUGCCAGCAGCCGCGGUAAUACGUAGGGUGCAAGCGUUGUCCGGAAUUAUUGGGCGUAAAGAGCUCGUAGGCGGUUUGUCGCGUCUGGUGUGAAAACUCAAGGCUCAACCUUGAGCUUGCAUCGGGUACGGGCAGACUAGAGUGUGGUAGGGGUGACUGGAAUUCCUGGUGUAGCGGUGGAAUGCGCAGAUAUCAGGAGGAACACCGAUGGCGAAGGCAGGUCACUGGGCCACUACUGACGCUGAGGAGCGAAAGCAUGGGGAGCGAACAGGAUUAGAUACCCUGGUAGUCCAUGCCGUAAACGUUGGGCACUAGGUGUGGGGCUCAUUCCACGAGUUCCGCGCCGCAGCUAACGCAUUAAGUGCCCCGCCUGGGGAGUACGGCCGCAAGGCUAAAACUCAAAGGGAAUUGACGGGGGCCCGC
rnacentral:rRNA from 1 species